GAUGAACGCUGGCGGCGUGCCUAAUACAUGCAAGUCGAGCGAACAGAUAAGGAGCUUGCUCCUUUGACGUUAGCGGCGGACGGGUGAGUAACACGUGGGUAACCUACCUAUAAGACUGGGAUAACUUCGGGAAACCGGAGCUAAUACCGGAUAAUAUUUCGAACCGCAUGGUUCGAUAGUGAAAGAUGGUUUUGCUAUCACUUAUAGAUGGACCCGCGCCGUAUUAGCUAGUUGGUAAGGUAACGGCUUACCAAGGCGACGAUACGUAGCCGACCUGAGAGGGUGAUCGGCCACACUGGAACUGAGACACGGUCCAGACUCCUACGGGAGGCAGCAGUAGGGAAUCUUCCGCAAUGGGCGAAAGCCUGACGGAGCAACGCCGCGUGAGUGAUGAAGGUCUUCGGAUCGUAAAACUCUGUUAUUAGGGAAGAACAUACGUGUAAGUAACUGUGCACGUCUUGACGGUACCUAAUCAGAAAGCCACGGCCAACUACGUG
rnacentral:rRNA from 1 species